UUGAUCCUGGCUCAGAAUCAACGCUGGCGGCGUGCCUCAGACAUGCAAGUCGAACGCGAAAGCCCCCUUCGGGGGGCAAGUAGAGUGGCGCACGGGUGAUUAACACGUAGGUAAUCUACCUUUGGAUUGGGAAUAACCACCGGAAACGGUGGCUAAUACCGAAUAAUGCAGCGGCACCUAAUGGUGACAGUUGUUAAAGUGGGGGAUCGAAAGACCUCGCGUCUGAAGAGGAGCCUGCGGCGGAUUAGCUAGUUGGUAAGGUAACGGCUUACCAAGGCGAUGAUCCGUAGCCGGCCUGAUAGGGCGGUCGGCCACACUGACACUGACAUACGGGUCAGACUCCUACGGGUGGCAGCAGUCGGGAAUUUUGGGCAAUGGGCGAAAGCCUGACCCAGCAACUCCGCGUGAAGGAUGAAAUCCCUCGGGAUGUAAACUUCGCAAGAACAGGAUGAAUAAGUAAGAGUUAAUAUCUCUUAUGAUGACGGUACUGUUUGUAAGCUCCGGCUAACCCCGUGCCAGCAGCCGCGGUAAUAAGGU
rnacentral:rRNA from 1 species